rnacentral:rRNA from 1 species
UACGUAGGGUGCGAGCGUUGUCCGGAAUUAUUGGGCGUAAAGAGCUCGUAGGCGGCUUGUCGCGUCGGAUGUGAAAGCCCGGGGCUUAACUCCGGGUCUGCAUUCGAUACGGGCAGGCUAGAGUUCGGUAGGGGAGAUCGGAAUUCCUGGUGUAGCGGUGAAAUGCGCAGAUAUCGAGAGGAACACCAGAGGUGAAGACGGGUUGCUGGGCCGACACUGACGCUGACAGCGCGAAAGCCAGGGGAGCAAACGGG